rnacentral:rRNA from 1 species
AUUGAACGCUGGCGGCAGGCCUAACACAUGCAAGUCGAACGAGUGGCGGACGGGUGAGUAAUGUCUGGGAAACUGCCUGAUGGAGGGGGAUAACUACUGGAAACGGUAGCUAAUACCGCAUACCAUCAGAUGUGCCCAGAUGGGAUUAGCUAGUUGGUGGGGUAACGGCUCACCAGGGCGACGAUCCCUAGCUGGUCUGAGAGGAUGGCAGACCACACGGGAACUGAGCCACGUUCCCGACUACUGCGGGAGGCAGCAGUGGGGAAUAUUGCACAGUGGGCGCAAGCCUGAUGCAGCCAUGCCGCUUGUAUGAAGAAGGCCUUCGGGUUGUAAAGUACUUUCAGCGGGGAGGCGUUACCCGCAGAAGAAGCACCGGCUAACUCCGUGCCAGCAGCCGCGGUAAUAC